GACGGAGGCUAUUCUGGCUUCAAUUGGUGACAGACCACUGAUUGUAUCCGGAGACGCACGCUGAGAUGCGCGAGGCCACUGUGCCUCCUACACAGUGGCUCCUACACCAUCCUGGACUGCUUCUCAUCUGAUCCUCACCCAGGAGACAUGGGACCGAUGUGAAGAACAGCUACUGGUUGGAGACAGAGGGUUUAGAGAGAUGCCUGCAACAUAUUGAGGCCCAUGGAUGCGUAGUUUAAACUCUGACCACCUGACAGGCAUCCAAGUGUGAGGGUGUUCUUGAGGGACUCCAAUCCUCAUAUCUGGCAUGAGUACUACCUGUGGCACAAUGCGAAAGGUGUGAGGAAACAGCUGUUGGCCAUCGCGAAGCCAGAGGUACUGCCAUGGGUGAGGGCAAUCACACACCACUUGGGAUACUGUGCCACCACUGCUGGUGUAAGAGUCCAGCUGGCGAAGGAAAAGGGGAUCACUGUAGUUCACCACAUCACAUAUGAGCACCCGCAACAGACCUCUCCCCCUACACACCUGAAGAGGAAGAAACACGACCCUGGCUGAUCACAGCAUCACCAGCUUUUGAGAAAGUGAACAUGAGUGUUCAUGCCCUGUACACUAAAUAAGUGCCCAAGAGGAACAAGUUCAACCAGCAAGGGGAUGGUUGUAAGACUCCAAGGGGCUGCCUUGGACCACAAUCAUUCGGGGAAAAGACAUCAGGCUACAACAAAGGAGGGAGUGCUCAGAUUCAAACAAUAAUUCUUCAAGGCUGCAAAGGCAUUCAUGGUGAAAUCCAUCAAGGAGGAAAAGAUGUGAGUUGUUUUCAAAUACCCAUACUAACAUACUGUAUACCACAUACUUAAUGAGUAUAUACUACAUUUAAUUA
rnacentral:lncRNA from 1 species